AAGGAUUUAAGUUACAUAAACUAUCAACCUUCAAAGUUGAAAAAGAAGGCAUAAACUUUAAGCCUUA
rnacentral:tRNA from 1 species